CGGAAGUGCGGAUCCCAGCGGCGGUCGUGUAGCUGAGCAGGCCUGGGGCUUGGUUCUAUGUCCCUGUGGCUAUGUUUCCAGUGUCCUCUGGGUGUUUCCAAGAGCAACAAGAAACGAAUAAAUCUCUGUUGAAGAGAUACCAUUUGACAUUUUAGAGAUGGCUGCAUGCAAACUCUUAAAACAUUUGAGUAAGUACAGUGCACCAGGGAGACUCUUAUGACUAUUGGGAUAACACCAAGAAUUUGGUAUAUGCUCCUUACUCAGGGUCCCCAUAAAUCAAACCACCUAAAAUCAAAUAGAUUAAAGAAUGAAUUAGAUAAAGAGUUUACUUGCUUAACUAAGUGGGUUUUUUUGUUAAUUCCCUACAACCAAAUCUUUAUAAUACCCGAUGUUUUCUCCAUAUGCCAUGUUAGCAGCUGCACAGAUACUUAAGAUAAGAGUCUCAUAAUAGUAGAGAAGUCUUGAUCUGUGAUCUUGGGAAAAGCUGUUCACAUUAAGGAUGCCAUCUUCUUCUGGGGGGGAACUGUCCUUGUUAGCUUUACCUUAAGGGUUCCAAGGGGUGUAUGGUUCCAAUUGUGGAGGGACCCUUCUGAGUUGUAAGACUAUGAACCCAAAGUUUAAGGUUUUAAUGUUUUGCUGUCAUGUGAAUGGCAAGGGCAGUCCUCUGAUGUUCUCAGAAGAUCCAGUCAUCAGAUUCUAGAUUGUGAAGGGGUUGGCUGUCCUCUGUGAACCAUAAAAGUCUUUCUUUAUCUGGUGAAAAUACACUUCAGCAUAAUAAUCUACUGUUUUAACAUCAACCCUCUUGCAUGGAAGAGCUUUUUUACAAUCAGAAAACAUGCACUGAAAAUGACAACUGAAUGAAAUCCCUUUAUAAAAUGUUUAAAUGGCCCAUCAGGUAACCAAAUGCACCUGAAGUUUUGAUUGUUUUCCUAGGAAUAUAGGUUUGACAAACCAAACAUUGAUUAUAAACUAUUUUAGCAAUUUAGAGAUCACCACAGCAAUAUAUUUAAUUUGGAUCAUUUUCUCUUUCCAUGAUGAGUUAUGGAAUGCAGAACUUUUAAUAACAAAAGUUUUAAGGACUUAAGACGGAAAGGUGGCCAUCCUGGUUCUUCAUAAGUCUGUGCUUAAUUAACAUUAGACUUACAUCCUCUUGAAUACCAGCUGUUUCUUCAAAUUAGGUGCAUGGCACUGGUAACUGAUGAGUUAUAGGUAAUUUGGCUUAGACCAUGGAGUUUAUUUAAAUUAUAUAUCUAAACAAUUUCAAUAUUGGUGAUUUAGCAUGCAAAUCUGGAAAAUAUUUCCUUGAUAUUCAAUUUUUGUUUUACUUGGGUUAGCAGUUUUAUAAACCAGUUGGUCUUCUUAUUAAACUUUAGGAUUUUUUUUUUUUU
rnacentral:lncRNA from 1 species